rnacentral:rRNA from 1 species
AGAAUCAACGCUGGCGGCGUGCCUAACACAUGCAAGUCGCACGAGAAAGGGACUUCGGUCCUGAGUACAGUGGCGCACGGGUGAGUAACACGUGAAUCAUCUACCUUCGAGUGGGGAAUAACUGAGAGAAAUCUUAGCUAAUACCGCAUAAUACCUACGGGUCAAAGCAGCAAUGCGCUUGAAGAGGAGUUCGCGGCAGAUUAGUUAGUUGGCGGGUAAUGGCCCACCAAGACGAUGAUCUGUA